AAGGAGGAGAGGAGGGAAAGGAUGAGGGGGACGAGAGUGAAGUUGACGGGGGAGCCUCUGAGGAAGGAAGUUCAAGAAGCCCCAAGGAUGGCCAUACUCGUCCAUUUAUUCUCCCUAAAAUGUGCUUUGUCAAUGACUUUAAGCCAACGAUGACGACCAAUAUCUUUAAAAAUUUACAGGACUGUUAUCAAAUUCCUGACCAUAUCCCAAUCCGUCUUCCUGGGAAGUUCGAGAAGUGCUACUUGGGGAAGACCGCAGAUGUCGGCAUGUACGAUGCCAUGUUUGCGGUAGGACUAAGAUUGUCGCUGACGGCAUUGCACCGUCAGUUGGCCAACUUUCUUGGAUUAUCUGUCAGCCAAAUUACUCCCAAUGCAUGGAGGAUAUUCAUUGGAGCUAAAAUCCUAUGGGGUCGUCUAAGUGCUGGGAACCAUCAGCUUUCACUAGACGAGAUCUUUUGGCGCUAUAGACCCAAUACAUCAUCUCAUCUCAAGAGAUAUACCACUUUGCUGCGCAGAAGAAAGAGUUUAGGCUUGUGUUGGACAUGCCUGAUUCCAAUUGGAAUUGAAAGGGAAGAUAUUUUUUGUUCAGGGGACGGAUUGGGUAUACCGUCUAAAGAAGUGGGUCACAAUGCCCCAUGGCUUCGACAAUACUUGGGGUAUUGUCAAAGAUUCAAGUUUAGUGUCAUCAGUUUUUACUUUUUACUUCUUUCUCUGUCUAUUUGUUAAGUAUUUAACGUCGUCGUUUCUCUUUUUCAGCCAAUGUUUGUCCACGCAUAACUGACAAGUAGGAGGCCUUUAUACUUCAGGUUCUUGAGAUCCCGUUUGAGGAACGGAAGUGCAGGGACGUCAUUACUUUUGAUACUUUACACGUUUAUUGUGGUGGUCCAGAGCCGACACCUGCUGCACGUAGGUUGAAUACUUACUCUCGUCGGCAAAUGGAGGCAGCCAAGAUGGGGCAUCAGUGAAAGCGUCAACUACAACACGUAAGAAGGAGGAGGAGAAGAAGGAGAAGGGCAAAGAAGGGGCGUCCUCGUCAACCCCUAAGGUCAUUAAGAAGGGGGCGCCUAAAAGGAAAACUAACGGGAAGGACGACCGUCCUUCUAAGAAGGCAUCAGUCACCCUUAGGGAGAAGUAGCCCGAGAAGCCGUCGCCUCCCAAGCCGAGCCAUGGAACUGACAAAGGCUUAAUGAUGUCAUUAGGCCCCGUCACCCAGGGAACCCUUUGUCUUCUUAUGCAUAAAGGAUAUGCCAUCAAGAUGGUUGAAACAAUCAUCAAGGAAACGAACGUGGAUCCUUGUGCCAAGCAGGAGACGGAGAACCUGGGAGCAUCAGGUCUUUUUUAUCUCUCUAGGGUACUGGUGCGCAUGAAGGCGCUCCAAGACAGUGCGUUGCCAAGGAGGGGGUAAUCAGUCAUCCUAGGAAGUGCAAUGAAACAUUGACUAAUGAACAAGAUCAAUACAAGGACACCCUUCGUACUCUCAACAAGGAGGCGACAGAGUUAAAUGAGAAGUUAAAGGAGGAGACCAGUUAGCAGGAGAAUAAGCAAGAGGCGAAGGCGACCUUGGAAAAUGAGCUGACGGCUCUCCUUGGGCAAGUAGAGAUGGUAAGGGCUGACACCGUGAUAGAGUUCGAGGCUUCAUAGCCUUUCAUUGAGUCAUGUGCCAUUUACUAUGGUGAUGGGUUUGAGGACUGCCUGAAGUAGGUUAAGUCCAUCUACCCCUACUUGGAUUUAUCCAAGGUCUCCAUGGACGACCCCUUACCGUCAUCUCCAGCUGGCCACACCAUCUUUGAGGAGACUGACGACUCCACCCAGUCAGAGCGGGAUGCAAAAAAUAAUGGUUUUGUUCUUUCUCAGCCUGCCGUGGAAAAGCCUGUCACUACUUUGAUCCCGUCCACUAAAGCUUAAGAUGGUGAAAACCAUCCUUAGGACGCCCAGGAUCUUCCUCCCAAAGACGACAAGAUCCCCCAAGACAUCCAAGCCCCCUUAGUUUAGUUUAGUUUUUUUUUUAAUGAUAAUUUAUGUAUUUCGUCCAAUUUUCAAACAAUAUUAAGUACCCUUCUGUAUUUUGGGGCUUGUUUGUAAGGAUUUUUCUUUAUUUAUGGUAUUACUUUUAUAUCCGUCACU